AAUAUAAACAGGGUGCUGAAGGGUAAUAGAGUUGAAGAAAGAUGCAAGAAAUGGAGAGACCAAAGCUUGAAGAAGAAAAGGCAAAAGAAAUGGAAAUCGAGAGGGACAGUGGUGAAAAUUUUGAGAGAAAAAGGGUUGAAGGUUUGAAUGGAGAGAGAAGAAGAGAAGAGGUUGAUAAUAAAGAAGAAGAAGAAGAAGCAUUCAUGGAGAAAGCGUUUAAAGAAACAGAAGUGCCUCCAUGGACAAAGCAAAUAACAAUUAGGGCAAUGGCAACAAGCUUUGGUUUGAGUGUGGUGUUUAAUUUCAUAGUGUGUAAGCUUAAUCUAACAACUGGUGUGAUUCCUUCACUUAAUGUAGCAGCUGG
rnacentral:misc_RNA from 1 species